AGAACGAACGCUGGCGGCAUGCCUAACACAUGCAAGUCGGACGCUUUCGGGGGUUUCGGCCUCCGAGGGAGUGGCGGACGGGUGAGUAGCGCGUGGGAACCUGCCCCUUUGUGGGGGAUAACCGAGGGAAACUUCGGCUAAUACCGCAUGCGCCCGGGGGUAACUCCGGGGAAAGAUUUAUCGCAGAGGGAGGGGCCCGCGUCGGAUUAGGUAGUUGGUGGGGUAACGGCCUACCAAGCCGGUGAUCCGUAGCUGGUCUGAGAGGAUGAUCAGCCACACUGGGACUGAGACACGGCCCAGACUCCUACGGGAGGCAGCAGUGGGGAAUAUUGGACAAUGGGCGCAAGCCUGAUCCAGCAAUGCCGCGUGAGUGAUGAAGGCCUUAGGGUUGUAAAGCUCUUUCGGCGGGGACGAGUGAUGGACGGUACCCGCGAAGAACGAAGCCCCGGCUAACUUCGCGCCAGCACGCCGC
rnacentral:rRNA from 1 species